rnacentral:miRNA from 4 species
GCAGUCCAUGGGCAUAUACACU